rnacentral:rRNA from 1 species
AGCGAACGCUGGCGGCAGGCCUAACACAUGCAAGUCGAACGAACUCUUCGGAGUUAGUGGCGGACGGGUGAGUAACACGUGGGAACGUGCCUUUUGGUUCGGAAUAACUCAGGGAAACUUGUGCUAAUACCGAAUGUGCCCUUCGGGGGAAAGAUUUAUCGCCAUUAGAGCGGCCCGCGUCUGAUUAGCUAGUUGGUGAGGUAACGGCUCACCAAGGCGACGAUCAGUAGCUGGUCUGAGAGGAUGACCAGCCACACUGGGACUGAGACACGGCCCAGACUCCUACGGGAGGCAGCAGUGGGGAAUCUUGCGCAAUGGGCGAAAGCCUGACGCAGCCAUGCCGCGCGAAUGAUGAAGGUCUUAGGAUUGUAAAAUUCUUUCACCGGGGACGAUAAUGACGGUACCCGGAGAAGAAGCCCCGGCUAACUUCGUG